rnacentral:lncRNA from 13 species
AAAAUUCUGUCGUUGUUUAUUCCUAUAGGGUCUAUGGUUUGCAUUUUUAGAAUUUACCUUUUAAAAAAAUUAACCUCUGUGAGAUCAACCUCUCAAUCAACUUAAAAUUUCAAAGUCAUAAUGAGCAGGACUUUUCUUGGAUAAAAACUAAUCAAACUGUAUGUAUUAUCUUACUCCUUUCCAUGAUAAUGCUGGAUCCCUCUAGCCUCUCAGUGUGCAGACAUCAUUCUGCAGCCUUCCUCCUGGAUUUGCUUCUGCACACACGUUUCCUGGAUUAGAACCCUUGGUCCAGCUCUUGUCUAUACUGUGUGCUGUGCACAGUACCUGGAGAAGGUUAAGAGAACAGAUCCUCAAAAGGCAGCUUUGAGGUCAAACUUCCACAUACUCUGAGUCUGCUUAAAGCAACACAGUGUAACUCCUUUGAGGAUUUGAAUUUGCCAUCAGCUUUCCAGGAAGUUUCAGGGCCUCAGCCAGUCCACUCAGCUUCAAGGGCAGCAGAGGUGGCAGCAGGAAAACUGAGCCUGUCCUACACACUGUUUGCGGAGGACGUGCAAGCAGGUUUUGAUCCUGGUCAAAUAUUCUCCAAACUCUGUCCUAGCAUCUGCUUUGGGAGCACUCAAACUGCAUCAGGACGAUUGUGGAUAGUAAGACAGUAAGAACACAUCGGUCAUUCAAUGCAAUCCUUGUAUAUGCAAGCUAGAUUGAACCACCAGACCUCCCAGGAAGAGGCAGAGGCAGAGAGGAGGCAGAAGCAUAAGUGGAAGAAAGAGGAAGCUGAGCUAAGAGGGAGGAGUAGGCAUAAACACGCCCUUCCUCCCUUUUUCUCCUUUACAUUUCAGCUCAGGUGGGGGUACCCCUAACCCCAUGCCAUCUGUGUGGUUUUUCAGUCUCUUUUCCUCACCAUAUUGAGAUUGAAAGACCACACAAAUGGCAGAAUUCUCCCAGUCUUGGCCUAGAGAAGAGAGCAGGAGACACAGUGAUUUCCCCAGCAGUGAGAAAACAAUCUUAUUUAUUUUACCAUUUUGCCUCAUUCUUUGAAAGGCUGCUGACCCCCUAAUUAUGACAAAUUUAAG